rnacentral:tRNA from 1 species
GGAGAAGUGGCUGAGAGGUUUAAAGCGACAGAUUGCUAAUCUGUUGUAUAAUUUUAUUUUAUACCGAGGGUUCGAAUCCCUUCUUCUCCU